ACACACAGAAAUGACUGCGACCUACGACCACGCCAAAGGAAACUCCUGCAGGAUUGGCUGACCAUCAUCUGCUGCGUCUUCCUGCAGAAAUUUUGUGUUAAAGUGGAUUCAAUUGUACUGCUAAAAACAAAGACAUUUGGUCCUUUGAGGGCUAGCUUUAGUGGAGUUAUGUGUCAUUAUUAUUCAUAGUGUCUUGCUUCAUAAUGUUGAAUGUAUCUUCUUGAAUCUAACUUAAAAAUAUAUUUUUACACUUAUUUAUUAAUUAAAUCAAUAACCGACCUGACUUUCUUGCUCAAGUUGACAAAAUGUUUAACUCUAAAAGAAGUCUGUCCUUUGUUUUUUCUUUUUCUGUUACGUAUUUACAUCUGCAAACAUGUCAUAUACAUGUCCACACAUAUACUCGUAUGCUUAUUGGUUGCUUGAAGCUUGGUGCAUAAUAUUCAGUUUUGUCGUCUUAAGAGUUCUGUGAUUUUGUAUCAGGCUGUUGUUGGAGAUUUUUAAAAUACAAUUUGACUCGUUCAGUG